UUUCCUAUGAGGACAGCUGAAGAACCCUUUUGGAACCCCUUAUUCUAAGAGUGUAGGCACAAAACAUCCAGAGACAUUCAAGUAAAUGGGACAUUUUGAAAUACCACUCAUUAUGAUUAUACACUACAGUCUUGGGAAGACCCUGAUUUAUCAUGGGACACAUCAGUCUAUCAUCAUGAUAUGGUGGUCCUGCCUGUCAGCAAAAUCUGGACUCCUGAACUCCAUGUGACUAAUGGAGUGCAAACAACGAUGAAGCACAGCAACAAGGACUUGCUGGUGCACAGCAACGGGACUAUAGAGCACAUGGUCAUCAUGAACACUGUGGUGGGCUGUGAAGUCAAUCUGUACAACUACCCCUUCGCUUCAGAUUUCUGUGCCAUCGCCCUGAAUGUGUGGGCAAUUAGUG
ensembl:lncRNA